UACAGAGGGUGCGAGCGUUGUCCGGAAUCACUGGGCGUAAAGGGCGCGUAGGCGGCUUUUCAAGCGUGCGGUGAAAGCUCGGGGCUUAACUCCGAGUCUGCCGUGCGAACUGGGAGGCUUGAGUCUGGUAGAGGUCGAUGGAAUUCCGGGUGUAGCGGUGAAAUGCGUAGAUAUCGGAAGGAACAUCAGUGGCGAAAGCGACUUCCUGGACCAGUACCGACGUUCAGGCACGAAAGCGUGGGGAGCAAACAGG
rnacentral:rRNA from 1 species